AUAAUGAAAAAAAAAAAAAAAAAAUCAGCUGAGCUGUUAUCUAUAACACAAUAUCACACUCAAUCGUUUGUCGUCUGUUCUUCCUUUUUUUUUUCCUGCAAAUCUCUUUUUCUUCAUUCUUCU
rnacentral:ribozyme from 1 species